rnacentral:lncRNA from 7 species
GGAAAAGCAGGUUGAAGGAGCAGAGGACUGCAACUGCAGCCCAGGUGUGUAUGCAGGGCAGCUGGAGCUGAGGGCUGGUGGCAUACAUCUGCUGGCUGGGGAAGGGAAGGAUCAUGCUCUCCUGGGCUACCUGGUGGAUGCUGCAUGGUCUGCUCUUAAAGAGCUGCAAGAAGACUGUUUCUUGUUCAGAGGCACGACAGGUCCAGCUUUAUUCAAGCUCUCAUCCUCUGGGCAAAGCCUCUAUAUGGGCUUCUGGAAGCUCAUCUAACUCACUGGGGUUGCUCCACUUAAUCUCUGAGUGAUUCUACUGCAACACUCGACUGUGGUUACUGUGUUAGUGGCCCUACAAGUCUGGGGACUUUCCUUACAGCUCAAGGCUCUUCAUAUGGAAGGAAUACUUGUGCUCCCACUGAAGUGCCCAAAUUAUGGGAAGCAAGGAUAGCAAACUAGAAGGCUGCGUGCGGAAAUCAAACUCUAUAACCGCAGAGUAGUUAUAAAGCAGUCAUGCUUGCUGUCUUCCCAUGCACAGGAGAGUUUUAGAUUGGCAGUACAUUUUUGGAGAGGGCCUAUGUGGAGGCUCCCAACCUCCCACGCAGGCAGACUGCAGGGAUGGAACUACAGGUGUGAGGUCUGCUGGUGAAUCAGAAUGGGGCUGGGAGAUUAAAGCAGGACCAGGUGGGUGCCCUUGUGCGUUAUAUCUAAAGAUGAUCACUAGAUGGCAACGUUACAUAGCUGAAAGGACCUGUACAGUCCUGUUCCAAAUAUCAUCUGCAGAUGAAAUGGUUCCUUUCACUCAGGUUGUUCAUCCAGAAUGGAAGAUUUCCAUGAGCCUGCUGUAGCUCACACAGCCUAUCUCAGGAAUUAGGUGACUGUGUAGAGACCUCCUGUUAAUCAUUCUCAGGUGGCUUAAGGACAGGCCAUUCUGCACCAACAUAAUCCAGUGACAAGCUCAGCUGUACUUAGUGUUCCUUGGGUAAUGGCCUGCAUUUUGGAUAAACAUCCUUUUAGAAUGCUAUUUAAAAAAUAAAACAUGCUGUUUAUGCUUUGUUUCCUAAUUACAAUAUGCUUCUAAAGUUGUAAUGAUGUCUGACAACUCUAAACGUAGUUUUAGAUAGAGGGCUUUACCCUCUGAUGCAGUUUUGCCCACUCUGUGGUUGUAAAACAGAAGAUGAUUUCUCAUGUAACCCUUUUAGAGGAUGACAUGAGCAAAGUGCUUUCUAGGUUCUACAAGUAAACAAAUUGAAG